rnacentral:rRNA from 1 species
UACGAAGGAUGCAAGCGUUAUCCGGAUUCAUUGGGUUUAAAGGGAGCGUAGGCGGUCUUGUAAGUCAGUGGUGAAAUCUUUGGGCUUAACCCAGAAACUGCCAUUGAUACUGCAGGACUUGAGUACAGAUGCUGUGGGCGGAAUAUGACAUGUAGUGGUGAAAUACAUAGAGAUGUCAUAGAACACCGAUUGCGAAGGCAGCUCACAAAACUGUAACUGACGCUGAGGCUCGAAAGUGUGGGGAUCAAACAGG